rnacentral:rRNA from 1 species
AUACGGAGGAUCCGAGCGUUAUCCGGAUUUAUUGGGUUUAAAGGGAGCGUAGGCGGACGCUUAAGUCAGUUGUGAAAGUUUGCGGCUCAACCGUAAAAUUGCAGUUGAUACUGGGUGUCUUGAGUACAGUAGAGGCAGGGGGAAUUCGUGGUGUAGCGGGGAAAUGCAUAGAUAUGACGAAGAACGCCGAUUGCGUAGGCAGCUGACCAGACCGCAAAUGACGCUCAUGCACGAAAGUGCGGGGAUCGAACAGGAUUAGAUACCCUGGUAGUCCGCACAGUAAACGAUGAAUACUUGUUUUCGGCGAUAUAAUGUCGGAGGCAAAGCGAAAGCGAUAAGUAUUCCACCUGGGGAGUACGCCGGCAACGGUGAAACUCAAAGGAAUUGACGGGG